UACGAGAGGCCCAAACGUUAUUCGGAAUUACUGGGCUUAAAGGGCUCGUAGGCGGCCAACUAAGUCCGACGUGAAAUCCCCAGGCUUAACCUGGGAACUGCGUCGGAUACUGGAUGGCUUGAAUCCGGGAGAGGGAUGCGGAAUUCCAGGUGUAGCGGUGAAAUGCGUAGAUAUCUGGAGGAACACCGGUGGCGAAGGCGGCAUCCUGGACCGGCAUUGACGCUGAGGAGCGAAAGCCAGGGGAGCAAACGGG
rnacentral:rRNA from 1 species